AACGAACGCUGGCGGCAUGCCUAACACAUGCAAGUCGAACGAGACGUUCGGGCCUAGUGGCGCACGGGUGCGUAACGCGUGGGAACUUGCCCUUAGGUUCGGAAUAAUUCACCGUAAGGGGUGCUAAUACCGGAUAAUGUAUUCGGAGCAAAGAUUUAUUGCUUUUGGAUGGGCCCGGGUUGGAUUAGCUAGUUGGUAGGGUAAAAGCCUACCAAGGCGACGAUCCAUAGCUGGUCUGUGAGGAGGCCUAGCCACACUGGAACUGAGGCACGGCCCAGACUCCGACGGGAGGCAGCAGUAUGGAAUAUUAGACGAUGAGCCAAGACGUAGUCCAGCAAUGCCGCGGAAGUGGGGAAUGCCUUAGUGUUGUAAAGCUCUUUUUCCCGAGAUGAUAAUGACGGUACCGGGAGAAUAAGCACCGGCUAACUCCGUG
rnacentral:rRNA from 1 species